AACGGAAUUUGGGGAACACUGGUUUUUUUGUCUGGCCUCUCUCGCUGGCCACAGUGUCGUCAAGCAUCCUCUGACUGUAACAAGCCAACCUCUGUUUUUGCAGCUAGUCUGCCACUGAUAAGGCCUGCUGACAUGGCUUCCAUUUUUCUGAGAUCCUGGCCUCCUAGCUGCUGCUAAAAGUGGUUCAAACAAGAUUUGGUAUGAAACUUAAUAUGGUUUGCAGGCUGCAAUUUCCACAUCCAGGGAUGGAGUUAGAGAAAUCCACAGGAAACAGAAGGAAACUUGCUGCAGUACGGACUCUGUGUCAGCCUAUACUUAUUACAUCAUCGGAUACAUGUUUUUUGGAAGUGGUGCUAUUAAUUAUUUCCACAACUGAGAAACAAUAAAUGUCUUUUGAGUAGAAAACAGUGUAAAAGUACAUGCAGG